ACCACAAUUCAAAAGCAAUGUCUGAUUUUCAUUAGUUAAUUUUCAGUGAAUUUUUAUUUAUUAUUACUUUUGUCAGUUUCAAGUUAUUUCAGUGACCAUUGUGGGGUUUUCUUUCUUUAACAGACGGGUACCAACAAUUCUGUCCACGUGUGUAUGUGUCACCCUGCUAGUUUUCACAUAACAUGGCUCAACACAGACGCAUGAAGUCAACCUGUGGAGCUUUUCCCUUCAGAAAUCAAUGUUGAGUCGCCGUUAUCACCACCGUGUUCUGUAGCUCCUGGUGGAAUGUUGUUAAAAAAUUAAAUGUAAUCAUAAUUUACUUUAUUUAAAAUGAUGAAAAAUGCAAUCUAUAGAGUGAAUGAAGAGAGGGAGCUCCGUUAGUGAAAGCAAAGCAGUGAAUCAGAGAAAUAAAACAUUAUUUUCUGAUUGUUUCACGGCUUUAACGUUCUAAAGCACCAAUAAACACGCCUCCGCACAACCCUGCAGGAAGGUGCCUUAUUGCCGGAUUUUUAACGAAUGCAGCCGAAGGUCAGGCUUCAUCUUGUCCUCUCUGCAUGGCGUGUGCCACACAUUAUUUUUUCCCCAGUGUUGGGCCUCGUCCCGCCCUACUGUGCUGUGAUUGGCUAGUAUUCGUUGCCUCUGCCUCGACUGUUCGGCUCAUUUUGCACCCGGGAGAAGUCUUUGCCUUCAGGGCUUUCUGCCAGAAAGGGUUUAUUUUAACCCAAACCAUUAUCUUUUCCUAAACCUAACCAAGUAGAGUUGCUGCCUAAACCUGAAGAGGUUUCUGACAGAGGCAAACUUCUCCCAUGUUCACUCAAUUCAAACAGUUUAGCAUUUAAAUGGAAUUAGCAAGCUAACUAGCCAGCCACUACAUUAGUACAAUUUGAACAACACACACACUUGUCACAGUGUAGGAAAGCUCAUCACCAUUUGAGUGACAACUUUGUUUUGCUCAUUGUCUGUUACCAGUGUAGCAUGAAAGCAUGGUGGAAUUAGCUAGCUAGCUAACUAGCCAGCCGCUAAAUGAGUAAACAUGAACAACUUCAUGGCUUCGUCCACACACUCUUGUCCAUCUUGUCACAGCAUAAGAAAGCACAUUGCUAUUGCCAGAUAAUUCGCCAAUCAUAGCACUGUAUUUCUGCAAAGGUGUAAGCUUCUGUAUAUACUGUAUGUUACUGGCUAUUUGCAAAUAAAGAAAGAUUUAAUUUCC